rnacentral:rRNA from 1 species
CCGAACACGGAAGUUAAGCUCACCUACGUGUGGACGAGUACUGGCGUGGGCGACCCGCUGGGAAAGUUGACUCGCCGUCUCUC